CGAACGGGUGAGUAAUGCGUGACCAACCUGCCCCAUGCUCCAGAAUAGCUCUUGGAAACGGGUGGUAAUGCUGGAUGCUCCAACUUGACGCAUGUCUUGUUGGGAAAGUGUUUAGUGGCAUGGGAUGGGGUCGCGUCCUAUCAGCUUGUAGGCGGGGUAAUGGCCCACCUAGGCUUCGACGGGUAGCCGGCCUGAGAGGGCGGACGGCCACAUUGGGACUGAGAUACGACCCAGACUCCUACGGGAGGCAGCAGCA
rnacentral:rRNA from 1 species